ensembl:lncRNA
UGGGGAGGGUGCCCCCUGGUGGUCCGAAUUGGGAAAACAGCUCUCCCAGUGUGCGUACAAAAGAGAAUUUCAAAGUGUCAGCCGCAGGGCCGAUUAGGCCGGGAUGGGAGUGGGUAUCCUGUGUAAUUUAGAAUAGCUUCCAGGGAAUCCUAAAAGGCCUCUUCUCAUCGAAGGCUGAAGAGCUAACUCCCUUAGACAAGCUUCAGCAUGUUUGCCAACCUUGGAAUUAAAAUUUUGGACUCCUUUUCUUUGGCAACGUAAGUGCUAAAUUUUUUUUUAAUUAUAUUUAAACGCUGUUCUGGGCCUCUAAGCUUGGUGCACAGAGAAAACACGUUGUUAAAUAAGGAAAAGUGAUGGAAACUCUCUUCCUUCCCUGGUCAGCACCAUGUGGAGCUAUGUUGUCAGUCUUGAUUUAGAAUGUUGCAAUUUUCACAAUAGUACAGGCUGCCUUUUGCCAGCUUUUGUUGUAAUUCGCCAGUGCUUAUUUCUAAUUCUACAGAGUUACUAGGCCUUCAAAAUGGAGACAAAGGUGUGAGGGCUGGAGAUGUAGCUCAUGGGUAGCAUGCGUUCCAACACCAGCGGGGCGGAGGGAGCCAGGGAGAAGAUACUAACAACCAUCUCUCAUUUAUUUGUCUUAAAAGACUUAUUGCAGCUGGCCACAAUGACACACACCUUUAAUCCCAGCACUCAGGAGGCAGAGGUUGUCUGAUCUCUGAGUUUGAGGCCAGCCUGGUUUACAGAAGAGCGAGUUCCAGGACAGCCAGGGCUACACAGAGAAACCCUGGCUCAAAAAAAAAAAAAAAAAAUCCCGUGUAUGUUUGAGCACUGCAUGGCUUUGUGGUCACCACAUGCACACAGGCACAUCACAGGUCACACAGCGUCAAGUCCCCUGGAACUGGAGGAGUUACAGACAGCUGUGGAGACUGAGCUGGGGUCCUCCGCAAGAGCAGUGAGUAGGCUUCCUCACCCGGCCAUCCCCCUAGACCCCUGUAACUGUUUCUUCUUGCAAUCUGACCAAUUUUCCUGCUCAUUUCUACAUGUAAAACAAAGAAAGCAAAACUGGAAAAAACACAUGUAUAGAAAGCCCCAGAGUGGCCCGGUGUUGGUGACGCACGCCUUUAAUCCCAGCACUCGGGAGGCGGAUCUCUGUGAGUUCGAGACCAGCCUGGUCUACAAGAGCUAGUUCCAGGACAGCCUCCAAAGCUACAGAGAGAAACCCUGUCUCGAAAAAACAAAAACAAAAACAAAAACAAAACAAAGAGAAAGCCCCAGAGCAGAUCAGUCUACGAAAUCAGCUUCCUGAUGAAUGAGGAGAUGAGACACUGUGGGGUCACAUAGGAAAACACAUUUUCACUAUUAUUUCUACAUGAAAUUACCGCCUGGCAAAUUUUGCUAAUCAAAGUUGAGGUGGUAUGAGUUCUAAGUGUGGAAAAAUUAUCAGUCCACAAAAUAACUCAGUCUUCCUGGCUGUUUGAGAUGCCACCCAUAUAACUGAGACCUUGAACUUUAAUAAGUGACACCUCUCAGAUGUAUGGACCUAAGGUUGAGAUGAACUUGCAAGUGCUAAUUACCAAUCUGGGAUUGAUUAUCCGUGGUAAGCUGUAGGUUCACUUCUGUUCAUUCCUAGACAGAUCAGACUGGAAGUCAGUGAGCUGGGGCAGGGGCUGCAAGUCUGAUUCCACUCCUAGCACUUGGCCCAGAGGCUUGUGACCACCUAUAAUUUCAGCUUUGUGGGAUCCAGUUCCUUCUUCUGAUGCUCUUAUACACAUGGCACACACGAGACACAUGCGUAUACAUAAAUAAAAAUAAAAAGAUGAUAAACACAUUGCAACGGAUGACUAACAUAGCGAGGAACGUGACUGUGGUGGAAUGUAUUUAUUGAGCGCUAACCACGUUUUGUGUAACUUUCCCUGUGGGGGUAGGGUGAACAUUGAGCUAGAGUCUCAUUGUGUACCCAGGCUGGCCUUAGGCUCGACUCCUCCUGCCUCAGCCUUCUUAGUGCUGGGAUUGCAGUUUUAUGUCAACAUACUCAGUUUUAACUUUAAAGCUUCUUUGCAUUUAAGUAUCAUUCCCUAGAAUUUGGGAACAGAAAAGGAUUUUAAGGUGUGUUUGCUGCCCUCACAUGUCCCCCUGUGUUCCAGGGAUCCCAUAUCUGGCAUCUUCCAGUUAGUGCUUUGAAGCAGUUUUCCCUAUGAUGCAAUUUAUCAUCCAGACUAUGGGACAUUUAUGACUCCAUAAUUACAGGGAUAACAGGUAAGAACAUCUCAAGUCAAGCUGACUCAUCUUUAUGUCCACCCACACUGAGAAGACAUGAGCACUUUCCAUUUUAACUCUUUCCAAAGGACCGGGGAUAGAAGACACGAAGGAAGCCAGAGUCACCCUGUGAUCCUGGGAUGAGGACGCCAGUGAAAGACAUCCUAAAUAAGAAUUCCCACCCCUAACACAGUUCCUACAAGCUGAGUUUGCAAGAAGGUCCCGCUUACCACCUGUUUAGUUACUUUUCUACUGCUGUGGCAAAACAUCAUGACCAAAAGAAAGAAUAAAAGAAGCCGGGCGGUGGUGGUGCAGCAUGCCUUAGUGAUGGCACACACCUUCAGUCCCGGCACUCGGGAGGCAGAGGCUGGUGGAUCUCUGAGUUCAAGGCCAGCCUGGUCUACAAAGCAAGUUCCAGGACAGCCAGGGCUACACAGAGAAACCUUGACCCCACCCCCACCCCAACCAAUAAAUAAAC